rnacentral:lncRNA from 1 species
UUCAGAAAUGUAGAGAUCCGCCUGUUUCAGCAGCUCUCCAAUGAUUAGGACGUUGGAAGUCGUACCAUCACCAGUUAUAUCAUCCUGGGCUGUUGCUACCUUUGCUAUUAAGGAAGCUGUUGGGUGUUGAAUUUGCUGAAAGCAAGGGCGACGGAGCACUUCACCCAGGGCCCCAGGUCGCAGAGGGCCCGGUGCUCGGGGUCCCGCUCCUUCUGCCUCUCCACAUGGUAGGCGUAGAUGGAGAGCAGGAUUCCGGCAGCGCACACUGCAUACCGGGCCACCCGCUCCC